rnacentral:rRNA from 1 species
AAUAGGAAUUUAUAAUAUUUGAAAUGGAUUUUUUUGUUUUGGCAAGAGCAUGAGAGCUUUUACUGGGCAAGAAGACAAGAGAUGGAGAGUCCAGCCGGGCCUGCGCUUAAGUGCGCGGUCUUGCUAGGCUUGUAAGUUUCUUUCUUGCUAUUCCAAACGGUGAGAGAUUUCUGUGCUUUUGUUAUAGGACAAUUAAAACCGUUUCAAUACAACACACUGUGGAGUUUUCAUAUCUUUGCAACUUUUUCUUUGGGCAUUCGAGCAAUCGGGGCCCAGAGGUAACAAACACAAACAAUUUUAUUUAUUCAUUAAAUUUUUGUCAAAAACAAGAAUUUUCGUAACUGGAAAUUUUAAAAUAUUAAAAACUUUCAACAACGGAUCUCUUGGUUCUCGCAUCGAUGAAGAACGCAGCGAAAUGCGAUACGUAAUGUGAAUUGCAGAAUUCCGUGAAUCAUCGAAUCUUUGAACGCACAUUGCGCCCCUUGGUAUUCCAGGGGGCAUGCCUGUUUGAGCGUCAUUUCCUUCUCAAACAUUCUGUUUGGUAGUGAGUGAUACUCUUUGGAGUUAACUUGAAAUUGCUGGCCUUUUCAUUGGAUGUUUUUUUUCCAAAGAGAGGUUUCUCUGCGUGCUUGAGGUAUAAUGCAAGUACGGUCGUUUUAGGUUUUACCAACUGCGGCUAAUCUUUUUUAUACUGAGCGUAUUGGAACGUUAUCGAUAAGAAGAGAGCGUCUAGGCGAACAAUGUUCUUAAAGUUUGACCUCAAAUCAGGUAGGAGUACCCGCUGAACUUAAGCAUAUCAAUAGCCGGAGGAAA